rnacentral:rRNA from 1 species
UACGUAGGGCGCAAGCGUUAUCCGGAAUUAUUGGGCGUAAAGAGCUCGUAGGCGGUUUGUCGCGUCUGCCGUGAAAGUCCGGGGCUCAACUCCGGAUCUGCGGUGGGUACGGGGCAGACUAGAGUGAUGUAGGGGAGACUGGAAUUCCUGGUGUAGCGGUGAAAUGCGCAGAUAUCAGGAGGAACACCGAUGGCGAAGGCAGGUCUCUGGGCAUUACCUGACGCUGAGGAGCGAAAGCAUGGGGAGCGAACAGG